rnacentral:tRNA from 1 species
GCUCUUGUGGUGAAAUGGAUAUCACGACGGUCUUCGGAACCGUUAUUCUAGGUUCGACUCCUAGCAGGAGCA